GGGGUUGUGGCUAAGCGGUAGAGCACUCAGCUAGCACAUGUGAGGCCCUGAGUUCAAUCCUCAGCACCA
rnacentral:tRNA from 1 species